rnacentral:rRNA from 1 species
GUAGGACUACCCGCUGAACUUAAGCAUAUCAAUAAGCGGAGGAAAAGAAACUAACAAGGAUUCCCCUAGUAACUGCGAGUGAAGCGGGAAAAGCUCAAAUUUAAAAUCCUUCGGGAGUUGUAAUCUAGAGAAGUGUUUUCGGCCGUGGCCUCGGACAAGUCCCUUGGAACAGGGCGUCAUAGAGGGUGAGAAUCCCGUCCUUGCCGAGCUAACCGCGUCUAUGUGAUACACUCUCGACGAGUCGAGUUGUUUGGGAAUGCAGCUCAAAAUGGGUGGUAAACUCCAUCUAAAGCUAAAUAUUGGCGAGAGACCGAUAGCGAACAAGUACCGUGAGGGAAAGAUGAAAAGCACUUUGGAAAGAGAGUUAAACAGUACGUGAAAUUGUUGAAAGGGAAGCGCUUGAAGUCAGCCGCGUUGCAAGGACUCAGCCUCACGGUGCAUUUCUUUGUAACGGGUCAACAUCAGUUUUGACCGCGGGAAAAGGGCUUGAGGAAUGUGGCAGCCUCGGCUGUGUUAUAGCCUCUUGUCGUACACCGCGGUUGGGACUGAGGACCGCUUAAUAGGAUGUUGACGAAAUGGCUUUAAGCGACCCGUCUUGAAACACGGACC